AGUGAACGCUGGCGGUAGGCCUAACACAUGCAAGUCGAACGGCAGCACAGUAAGAGCUUGCUCUUACGGGUGGCGAGUGGCGGACGGGUGAGGAAUACAUCGGAAUCUACUUUUUCGUGGGGGAUAACGUAGGGAAACUUACGCUAAUACCGCAUACGACCUACGGGUGAAAGCAGGGGAUCUUCGGACCUUGCGCGAUUGAAUGAGCCGAUGUCGGAUUAGUUAGUUGGCGGGGUAAAGGCCCACCAAGGCGACGAUCCGUAGCUGGUCUGAGAGGAUGGUCAGCCACACUGGAACUGAGACACGGUCCAGACUCCUACGGGAGGCAGCAGUGGGGAAUAUUGGACAAUGGGCGCAAGCCUGAUCCAGCCAUACCGCGUGGGUGAAGAAGGCCUUCGGGUUGUAAAGCCCUUUUGUUGGGAAAGAAAAGCAGCAGGUUAAUACCCCGCUGUUCUGACGGUACCCAAAGAAUAAGCACCGGCUAACUUCGUG
rnacentral:rRNA from 1 species